AUUGAACGCUGGCGGCAGGCCUAACACAUGCAAGUCGAACGAGUGGCGGACGGGUGAGUAAUGUCUGGGAAACUGCCUGAUGGAGGGGGAUAACUACUGGAAACGGUAGCUAAUACCGCAUACCAUCGGAUGUGCCCAGAUGGGAUUAGCUAGUAGGGGGGGUAAAGGCUCACCUAGGCGACGAUCCCUCGCUGGUCUGAGAGGAUGACCAGCCACGCGGGAACGGGGAAACGGUCCAGACUCCUACGGGAGGCAGCAGGGGGAAAUAUUGCACAAUGGGCGAAAGCCUGAGGAAGCCAUGCCGCGUGUAUGAAGAGGGCCUUCGGGUUGUAAAGUACUUUCAGCGGGGAGGCGUUACCCGCAGAAGAAGCACCGGCUAACUCCGUGCCAGCAGCCGCGGUAAUAC
rnacentral:rRNA from 1 species